rnacentral:rRNA from 1 species
UGGGGAAUCUUGCGCAAUGGUCUAACGACUGACGCAGCGACGCCGCGUGUGGGAGGACGCCUUUCGGGGUGUAAACCACUGUUGCCCGGGACGAACAGCGCUAUUCGUGGCGUCUGACGGUACCGGGUGAGGAAGCACCGGCUAACUCCGUGCCAGCAGCCGCGGUAAUACGGAGGGUGCGAGCGUUGUCCGGAAUCAUUGGGCGUAAAGGGCGCGUAGGUGGCCCGGUCAGUCUUUGGUGAAAGCGCGGGGCUCAACCCUGCGUCGGCCAGGGAUACUGCCGCGGCUCGAGCACUGUAGAGGCAGGCGGAAUUCCGGGUGUAGCGGUGGAAUGCGUAGAGAUCCGGAAGAACACCGGUGGCGAAGGCGGCCUGCUGGGCAGUUUAGCUGACACUGAGGCGCGACAGCGUGGGGAGCAAACA